UCGAGUAAAUUUGACUCUAUAGUGAGUAAAUUUGACUCUAUAGUGAGUAAGUUUUGCUCUAUACUGAGUAAAUUUGGCUGUAUAUUGAGUAAAUUUAGAUCUUUACUGAGUAAAUUUGGAUCUACACUGACACUGGAAAAAGUGAAA